GCGUGGUAAUGGAUUUAUGGUAGGUCCGUCUCUGUGGGCCUAUCAUAGUGUACCCAUGCUAGAGUAGACUGCAGCCUCAAACCACUGCUCAGCCUCCUUACCUGUGGGCUGCGAGCACUGAAGGGAGUUUGUACAGUG
ensembl:snoRNA